UCUUUAAAGUAAAGUAUAGUAAAGUAAUCUUUAUUUAAAGUCGGGUUGCAUAUAUAAAUAUUAAUAGCAAGGAUCAUGAGCUCAUUAUUAGUGCUCUUUAAGAAUUAUGUAUCCUUUUGUUGUUUCAAUGCUAAACAUGUAAAUUUUAAAUAAAAUCUAGCCUUUCCCUUGUAAUCUAAUAUUUGACCAUUCUAUGCUUGAUAGAUAGAGGAAUAAUGCAUGCAGUGCUAGCAAUGAUUUCCUUAGGACAAGUUUAUAAAUCAAAAUAUUGGUUAGAACAAAUAUAAAUAUAUGGACCAAUUCAAGUAUACCUUCUAGGAUGCACUCGACUUUAGUGACUCAGCACGAGUUUUUUUGGAAUUUAAAGGUUGUUUAGGACUUUUUGUAAACAAUAAAUGCUAGCACAUCAUAGAAAAACAAGUGAGUAAUCUAUGUUUAAAAUUUUAUAACAAAAAUCUCUUUUUUAAAGUCUGUAGAUUUACACAAAAAUCUUGGUUUAUUUGCCACAAAAUCCCCUUUUUCUAUUAAAUGCAAUGAAACAAUAAAUAAAUUAAUAAUGCUUUGCACGAAGUUUCCCCUUGGUAUAUGUACAAAACGGCCCAUCUCUAUUAUUCAUUAUUUUUGCUGUUUUGAUACUAUUGCAGUUUGAAAAUUUCAUAAUUCACAUGGCUACAGAAGUGGUCAUAAACCUUAAAUUUUGGUUGUUGCAGAUGCUGUUCUGGUUGUUGAGUUAUGUGAAAUGGAAAGAAAGAGAUACAUGUACAUACAGAGACUGUUUUGAUAUAAAGGUGUAAAAAUGAGCUACCAGAAAAGAUGUUGAAAAUUUUAAAACUGUUUUAACAAGAGCAUCAAAAAAUAGAAGAAAAAAAAACAAUACCAGGUCUGGGCCUUUGUGGCUGCAUGCAAUUAAUUCUAAAAUAUCAGGAAACAAGAUGUAGCUGCACAGCAGACAUGGCAGAUCUUAAAAUUGCUAAUAGACAUCAACUCAACAUUUUCAAGCUGCAUAUCAAAAAUGAAAGCAUUCCUUUUCAUGGAAUCCAAGAAAACUUUUAACCAAGUCAAGUGGUCAUUAGAUCUGCUAUCAUGAAAAUAUUAACAUAUAUAUUACAGUCACAUAUAAUAUCCCAAAUAUAAUAACUGUUUGGUAUGUCUGACUAUCUUUCUUCCCAUGUCAUGUUACAUGUAUGCUCAGAAUAUUUUAAUGUCACAAGGAUAUGAAAUGGAUAAAUGAUAUAUUGUCAACCAUUUAAAUAAAACAGACAGGCUCACAUAAAAAUUAACUGUCUAUGUGAAAGUUCAA